UCUUCUGUGGCGCAAUUGGCUAGCGCGUUCGACUGUUAAGGCUGUUCCAGCUGCUGCAAAUCGAGAGGUUGGAGGUUCGAGCCCUCCCAGAAGAG